rfam:Cicer arietinum chromosome Ca5, whole genome shotgun sequence.
GCUUUCUAUGAUGAGAUAAAUGAUAAUAACUUUCGUUCUGCUGAGUUGUUUCACGCGGAGAAAAAUUGGACACCUGAACUGAGGUGGC